AUGCUUCUGUUGGGGGAUGGGAGCAUAGAUGUCACUCAACACCAAGGUGCAUAGUGCUUCCUAACUGAAGGGCACAAGCAAACGGCAGAAACAACAUCCUUAUUUUGGGUUGUUUUUAAGGUGAGGAUGUUAUUGUUGUGAGGUAUUAUUGUUGAGAUGAUGUUUAUGUAGCAUCCAUUCUGGACUCAGGGGCCAGUGCCCAUCUCUGCUGUCAUUUGUUCUGUCACUUCAAAGGACAGGAAGAACAUGGGUGGUGAUUUUAGGAUCAUAUUCAGAACCUCAGGGAAUGAGUCAUUUGGGGUUGACGACUUUUCCGGUGACUACAGCACAAAUAAAUGAAGCAACAGGACGUUGUUGAUGUGUUUAUUGUUCGUUUUAACCAUAGUACAUAACUUCCAGAAAUGCACUCUCAUGAUCUCUUGACUGUGAGUCCAUCUGGUGUUUGUUUUUUUUUUUUUUUUUUUUUUUUUUUUUUUUUUUUUUUCUUCAAACCAUUCUGCUGAGCAUAGUUCUAAUAACAUCGCAGCUCAGCUUUGAGAACACAGCCUUGUGGGAAGAGGAACAAAAGGGAAUGGGGGAUGCAGUGCUGUCACCUAGGAGGGCUCAGAGUCCCCAGAGAAGAUCUGGACUAGAGUGCAAACCUAAAGUAGAGGCAUCUGGCUUGCCCUCGAUAUUGGAGGGAGAGGGAGAGGUUGACCCUAACCCUUACUUCAGUGUGCUGCUUCUGAUUUUUUUUUUUUUUUGAGAUGGUAUCAUAGCUCAGGCUAGCUUCACUCUCACUAUUUAGCCCAGGCUUGCCUCAAACUGGAGACAUUCCACCUGCUUUAGCCUGGGAUUACAGGCAUGGGUCGCCAUGACUAGCUUUCCAUGUGCCUUUGAGUCAUCUGGUGUCUUAGUUUUCUCAUUGUGACAAAACACCUGACAAAAGGAACUUAGGAAAGGUUUUCCUAGAGAGAAUGGUGCUUACCAAGUAGACCUGACUGAUUGGCAAGUGAGCCCUGGGAUCUACCAGUCUUCAUCUCCCUAGUGCAGGGGUUACAAGUACUGGAAGACAGAGACCUCAUCCAGUAACUGAUGGAACCAGACACAGAGAUCCACAACCAAGAACCAGUCUGAGCUCCGGGAAUCCAGGUGAAGAGAGGGAGGAGGGAAUAGCUGAGCAAGAGAGGUCAAGAUCAUGAAGGGGACAUCUACGGAGACAGCUGAACCAAGCUCCUGGAAACUCAUCAACUCUAGACCUACAACUGUGGAAACUCCAGGGGACUGAACUAGGCCCUGCGUAUGUGGGAGACAGUUGUGAAGCUUGGACUAUCAGAGGAGCCCCUGAUAGUAGGACCACAAUACAAACCUGGUACAUGAGCUAGCUGGUUGGAGCCCCAUUCCUUAGAGUGGGUUGCCAUCCUCAGUGGAGGUAGGAGCACGAUAUAAUCCCAGUAUAUGAGCUAUCUUGUUGGAGCCCAUUCCCUCUGGUGGGAUGCCAUGCUCAGUCUUAAUGUAUGGGAGAGGGGCCAGGCCCUGUCCUAACUUAUUGUGUCAGACUAUGUUGACUCCUUAUGGGAGCCCUUACCCAUGAGGAGGAGUGGACUUGGGGUGGGCUAGAGGGGAGCUAAGGGGAAGGGGUGAGAGGGAGAACUGUAGUUGGAAUGUAAAAUAAAAUCAAAAAGUAAAAAAAUGGAAAAAUUAUAUUGAUUGAUUGCUUGCUUGCUUGCUUGAUAAGUUAGAAACAGGGUUUUAUGUAGCCCAGGCCUGCCUCAGACUGGCUAUGUAGCCAGGGAUGACUUUAAUU
rnacentral:lncRNA from 1 species